CUUUCAUUUUUUUGCUAACCUAAAACUUUCCCUUCCCGUAGCAAUCGCAUUUCCUCUCCGCAGCACAACACGAUCUUCUUCCAUCGCCGACAAGGAGGCCGCUGACGAGGAGGCAGGCGACAAGGUUGGGCGCCGACUGCUCGAGAGGUGGCUACUGAGGCUCAGUCACCAGCACGAAGCAGCCGUUGCCUCGCUUCGCUUGUAGGCGGUUCGCGAGCGGCUACUUGAACGGCGAGAAUGUUGCCCGCACCUUGGCUCCUCUGCUUCGCACCACCCGUGACCUAGCUUCCUCCGCCACUUCUCCCGCCGCCCACACCUAGCCUCCUCCGCCACUCCUCCGCCCACUCAUCAUCAUCAUCAUCAUCAUCAUCCAAUUCUUCAACUGUUAGUGUAUAUCAAAUCUACGGUAAGCUUUAAGAUUUGCGUCUUUAUUGGAGAUUCCAUCGGUUGCAAGUUAGGAUCCAGCUGUGGCAGGGGUCUGUUGCCAUAGUGACCAUUUUAGGUUUGCAUAAUCAGAUCUUCCAAUUACGAACAAACUCAUUAAGGUUUGUUUUCUUAUCCAUAUUUCUUAUUCUUAGGGUCAUAUGAACAUGACUUUCUCUGAAUGACCUUAAAGUAGAUUUGCUUCAAUGACAAUGAUUCAUCAUUUUGUAUUCUUACUUAUAUUUUGAAUUUUGAUACUUACUAAUAUAUCUAGGUUCACCAACAUAUACACUUUCACUUAUAUUUGCAAAUUAUAGUUGAAUGAUGUUUGAGGAAUGACUUUUUAGUCGAUAAUGCAUUGGUCUUAGAAUGCAUUGAUAUGGUAUUUAUCCAAGCCAUAUUGUCCAGUGUUUGCUUUGUUCUAUCCAAAUAAACUUUCAAUUUCUUUAAAAUACAGUUAGAUUCAUUUUUAGAAUUCAUUGGUUAUUCUUUUGAGAUUUUUUUCUCCUCACUUUGAUGGCUGAUAUAUGACUUUUCUUCCAUAAAACCUUUCAUUCCAUUCAUAGGGAUGGCAAACAUCAUCCACAAGUGAUGUGGAAUGUGAAUGAGAAGAAUUUUAUGCCUCACUUGGCUUCAUCUUGGUUUGUGCUACUCAUUGUUAUAGAUUUAGUGAAAUAUAAUGUAUUUACAAUUUUUGCCUCAUUUAGACUAUUUUUUUCAUAUAUAUAUAUAUAUAUCACAAGAUAGGGAAGUGUCUAAUAGUUCUUCUUACUUAACCUACACUAUUGUUAUCCUUAUAUCCCAGCCUAAUCUGAUUCUAUAUUAAAUCCACAGAUGAGAUUGUUGGUGUGUGUUAAGAUUCAAAUACAAUUUUAUUUUGCUUCUUAGCUAUUCAAUUUCUAAACAGCGAAAUGUUUCAUAAUUGGAUUUUUGAAAGUCAUGUAUCAACACAUGCAUGGAUGGAAGGUGUUAUCAUGUUCUUUAAUCCGUCUAGUACCUUGCUAUCAUGGUUAUGUAUAUUUUCCUUUUAUAGAUUCGUUAUGCAUUUGAACUUUUGACAAAUGCUUUAUGGAAGAGAGAUUAUGACCUUUUUGGCAUUGAUGAACACUCUGAAUCCUUUCUUGUUGGAGAAUUUCAAGUUUUAGUUACUAGUAUGGUAUGUUUUUUUUACUCAAUAUAGAAUGAUAUGUUGUUGACAAGUAUCCCGUCUUUGGCUUUAGCAUGUCAGUAAUAAUUCAUCCAUUUCUCAUAGAUCGAACUCCCAAUUAUUAAUUCAUCUUCACUUGGUAUGUUCAUUGUUCUACUGAUGCAAAAAUGUCAGCAUGUGCAUAUGAGGUGUGUAAGCCUUUAUGUAGAAGAAUUGAUUAUCAACUUUUAUGAUUGCAGUUAGGUAUGCUGAGUGAUAUGAUAUGUAGAAGAAUUGAUUAGCAACUUUUAUGAUUGCAAUUAGGUAUGCUGAGUGAUAUGACCAAAGUUCAUUUCUAUUGUCGGGAAAUCAAAGCCUUCGCUCAUACAAGUUUAUUCUGGAAGCCUUCGCUGUGCUCAUGCAAUUCAUCAGUGCUUGGAAGAGGAGAGGUUCUUGAUCAAUGAUAUUUUGUAGAUAACUUGAACUGAAAUUGAGGGAAAAGAUAAUGACCAUACCUAGAAAGGAGAAGAAAAGAAAA